GUGCAAGGGGGUUGGUUAAUCUAUGACUGCUGGUGAAUCAAAUGGGAAGGGAUUCAUUCUUGAGGACUGAGAUGAGAGGGUGAAGCUUCCAUACAACAUCAUGGGGUUUUUUUCUUUAUGCUAUAGCUUUCCAAGUCAAUUAUGCAGGCCCCAAUAGUGUCAGUGGUAUAACCUUAGAAGGGGUGGCAGUAGGAGGUGUGGCAUGACUUAUAAAGGACCCUGCACUUCUCAAUUUGCUACUACGCUACUGAGUGUGUGAUGGCUUUCAUUCCAUGGAAAUCAAACCCAAGCACUAAACAACAUGAUUUUAAAAUACGGUAGCCGCCCUUCAAAUAUAUCCCACAGCAAUUCACAAUGAGAUACAUGCAGGCUGAUUGCCGGGCACUGGGUGAUGGAGCUAGGAAGGAAUUUUACCUGCAUUCCCGAUCAACCAUUUGAUUCCAGGCUUCAUUGCAUUCCUCAUAGCAAGCAUAUUUUCUUUCACAGUGCUUUCAUGCUCUCGGUUCCAUAACUUGCUGUAAUGCUGGAGCACUGGGCAAGGACCAUAGGCUGAGGGCAGGUGGGUGUGGUUUCUCUGCAUGUCCCCCUUGGGGGAGCCAUUAAGGGCUGGGGGGGAACGACUCACUUCUGGACUAUAUUGGGGGCCUUGGUACUGGCUACAUCCUCUGAUUUGUCAGAAGAACAAUCUAUGUUGUAGCACUAAGUUGGCUUUCCUCUCUGCAUCAGUCAGGCGAAGGGGUACCAUUGAAACCAGGCAGGCUGUCAGGAUGUUUGGGCUCCCUUGGAUGUUUCAAAGCUGUAAUUUAAUAAACGCGUGGCCUGAUUUGUU